rnacentral:tRNA from 1 species
ACCCGGCUGGCUUAAUGGGUAGAGCGUGUGACUCUUGAUCUCAGGAUUGUGAGUUCAAGUCCCAUGCUGGGUG